AGACACUGAAGUUUGUAAGCCUGGACUGGAGGCCCUCCUUCCCCCUCCCUCCUCACCAAGCAUGGCUGGCGGCGCUCACUUAGGUCGUCUUUGAAUCCUGUCCACAACCCCUGGACGCUGCUGGUCCAGCAAGGCUGCCGUUUGCUGAGAAAGGCUCCUCACCCACGCCAGUGCUCUCAGUCCGUCAACAGAGGAGUGGAUAAAGAAGAUGUGGUACAUGUAUACAAUGGAAUAUUACUCAGCCAUAAAAAAGGAUGAAAUAAGUCCAUCUGCAGCAACAUGGACGGACCUAGAAUUGCCAUACUGAGUGAAAGCACAGGCUCCGGACGCGCAGGCUCAGCGGCCAUGGCUCACGGGCGCAGUCACUCCGCGGCAUGUGGGAUCUUCCCGGACUGGGGCACGAACCCGUAUUCCCUGCAUCGGCAGGCGGACUCUCAACCACUGCGCCACCAGGAAAGCCUUAAAGUUCUCCAUUUUAGAGACUCAAUUUCCAUUUCUUUAUGGUCCUGGCUCUCUAUCAGUUGUCCCCUAGUCCAUGGUUUUCUCUGUCUCUGCCCUUCCUUUCCAGGCUGGGUGCUCAGGGGAGAGGAACGAUGGUCAUGGGAGGGACACCAGGGCCCGACCCCAUCGAAAUGAGGUGGUGGAGGGAGAAACAGUCCCGUGACGGGGAGUGGAAUUCACCUCUGUGGACCCCUUCGCAGUGCCCGGUCUUCGCUGCUCCAUCUUGCCUUGAGUUGGAGAUCUGGAGAUACAGUCGUGUCUGAGGUCCUGCUUUCUCCCUGGGUGUCAGAACACGUAAGGUGGCCAACUGCGGAUGGCUUGGCCCAUGGGAGGGAGGCCUCACGGCCUUACAAGUCUAGGUCAGGGCAAUUGCAGCAGAAGGAUGAGGCAAAUGGAGCCCCAGAAGAGGAAGCCUCCCACUGACACCUGCGGGUAUAAAGCCAGGACCUGCCAAUGAACAAGAGGGGCCGUGGCGUGAGCCCCCAGCAGUCGGCCCCGGGAGGAGGGGCAUCAUAAGGCUCAGGGGGCCAUGUGCUGUGUUCUUUGUCUCUCUGACUGUAGCUUCACUAUAGCUAUUCCAUCCUAUACCUAUCUAACCUCUAUCUACGCUCACGAUACUGGUGACUUGUGCAUUUAUUUUUGCCCACCCUGAUUCACUUUAUUUGAAGAAAUUCCUGGAGGAAGGAGGGCUCCUCCUCUGCAUCACUGUCUCAUCUCCCUGGGGGACUCUGAUAGGUCUCGCAAGAUUGUUAGUGCCUCACCCACCAGGGUAUAGACUCUCCCCUCUUUGUAGCUUUGGUGGACUAACUUUACUCAAUCUUCCAGAACACUCUUUAGGAUCGUCUUUUGGGAGAGCCUAUGUCUCAGUUUGCUUGGAACAGUCCUAGUUUACACCGGUUGUUCCAGUGUAAUUAUGAAUAGUUUCCCCUCUGGACAAUGUUACACGGUCAUCUUAGUGGAUGGUGCCUGGUAGCUAUUUCAAUAUGGCGGCUGUGCUGCAAGAGACCUUCCUCCUCAUUAGCCCCACUCGCUCUCCCAGUCUCUGUGGCCAUGACCCAGUCUGAGGCCUGAUUACCUGGAACACUUUCCAGCAGCCCUGAGCUCAGUGCCUCAGUCACCAAGCUCCCAUGAGCUACACAGAGAUACUCCCCUAGAAUCGCCACUGAAAUCCACCCCCUUCUCUCCACUGAAAUCAGAGACUCGCUUCUUCUUCAGCACUAAAAAAAUGUCAUCUCAACGUACUCAUGGCGGGGAAUGAGUUUUUCCCAAGGCUCUGACGUUUGUCCACCAGCCACUGAGAGCUUAGUGUGAGAAAGAGGCUGGGGAACCUCCCCCAAAAGAACCCUCCUGCCUCUUCCCUGCCAGGGUGGCUGGAAGGAAGGGUAGGGAGGAAGCCUCAGAGCAGAAAGAGGGUUGUGGAAGAGAUUUGCAAUGUUCUGGAGUGAGAAAGCCAACAGAGUGGAACAAUACUGUGCCCCAUUUUGCUUGUCCCAGAAGGAGAGAAGAGAGAGAGUGAGGCAGAAAAAACGUUCCAAGAAAUAAUGGCUGGAACUUUCCAGCUUUUGUGAAAGGCCUAUAGCUUUAGGUUCAAGAGACUCCACACACUCCAAGCAGAACUGAAAGUAAACAAAAAAGCACAUCCAGGCACAUCAGAGUCAAACUGCUAAAAACCAAAGAUAAAAAGGAAAUCUUGAAAGAGGCCAGAGAUAAAGGACACACCGCAAGCAGAGAACAACACUCUCAGCGUCACUGCUUUCCCAUCCAAAACCAUAUAGACCAGGAGGCAGUGGCACUACGUCUUUAGAACCCUGAAAGAAAAAAGAAGUUGUCAACUCAGAAUUACUUUUCCAGUGGAAAUAUUCUUCAAGUCUGAAGAUGAAGUGAAAGCAUUUUCAGGUAAAAGAAAACGUCAAGACUUUGUCGUGAGCAAACCUGCUCUGGGAAAAAAUGCUUCAGUUCUUAGCCUGAGGGGCAGGAAUCCAGGUGGAUGAGCAGAGCUGGAGAAUGGAUCAUGGGAAAUGGUUCAUUUGUAGGUAAAUAUAAGACAUAGUUUUUCUUUUUAAUGUCUUUAAAAUACAUAUAGCUGUUUAAAGCAAGACAUAACGUAACGUGGGGUUUAUAACAUAUGUGGAUGUGACAUACAUGAAAACUAUAGCAUAAACCCUGGGGGCUGGUUUCUUCAUACAGUAUUAACUCCAAUUGCUAGAUGCUCUUCUCUCUAGAACUGUGGUUUUCUGCCUGGUCUGGGAAGCCCCGGGGGUGUCCUUGACAUCUUUUUUCUCUCUCUUUCUUCUCAUGAGGGCACCCUGGGCUUGGUUACCAGAGGCUACGUGAGCUGUGACGACAUCACCCCAGACAACUAACGGGACGUGUGCUGUGUAUCCUGGUGUUUUAAAUUCUUCUUGGUUUUCAUUUCUAAUACAGUGAAUAUGACUAGAUAUAACCUACAUACGCAAAAGCUCUUUGGGGUCCACAAUACUUUAAAAAAAUUUAUUUUAUUGAAGUAUAGUUGAUUUACAAUGUUGUGCCACUCUCUGAGGUGUUAAGAAAGGCUAUGGACAGAAGAGCAGAUUACUGUAAAAAGAAGCAAGAAACUCUAAGAAGGAGGCAAGAAAAAUUAGAAAAUUCGUUUGCAGAGACGAAAGCUGAGCUAAAGGUACUGAAUAGCAGAAUGAAUAAUGCAGAAGAAAGAAUAAGUGAUCUCAAUACUUUUUUUUUUUUUUUUGCGGUACGCGGGCCUCUCACUGUUGUGGCCUCUCCCGUUGUGGCGCACAGGCUCCGGACGCGCAGGCUCAGCGGCCAUGGCUCACGGGCCCAGCCGCUCGGCCGCAUGUGGGAUCCUCCCGGACCAGGGCACGAACCCACGUCCCCUGCAUUGGCAGGCGGACUCUCAACCACUGCGCCACCAGGGAAACCCCUCAAUACUUUUUAAGGGUAUAAAGUUUGAGAACAGUUGCCUAGAGCAACCACUAAAAAUAAAUUAACAUAAUAAGAAAAGAAAGGCAAAGAGGUAGAGCUAAAAGGCCACUAUAUGCGAGAAAAUGGAAUUCUGAACUCUAAACCGGUUUAAUUUGGGGGGACUUGCUUCUAGUAGGGUGACCUAUUAGAAAUUGUCCUGGUUUGUCUGGGACAUGGAGCUUUCCAUCUUAAAACUGGUUCAGUCCCAGGCAAACUGGGUCAGUUGGUAAUUUAUAGCCUUUCAGUCAUCUAUUUUGUCCCCCUUCCCUUAGCCAAAUGAGAGCCCCUAAAGAGCAAAAGCACCUCUGACCUGCGUGCAGGCCCCCAAGAUAGGUAAGAGGACUGAACAAAGGAAAUAAAGGAGGCAAAAUGCUAAGCACACUAUGUCCACAAAAACAGAAAACACGGGACCAGCCUAAGAUAACUGUCUAUUAGAGUAUAUCACUACGGAUGGUUUCAAAAAUGUUUCUCUGUUUAGUGAAAU